AGUUCGAUCACAAGCUCAGAUUAGACGCUGGCGGGAUGCUUACAUGCAAGUCGAACGGCAGCACGGACUUCGUUCUCGGUGGCGAGUGGCGAACGGGCAGGUAAUGUAUCGGAACGUGCCUAGUAGCGAAGGGGAUAACUACGCGAAAGCGUAUGUACCGCAUACGCCCUUCGGGGGAAAGCGGGGGACCUUCGGGCCUCGCGCUGUUAGGCGGCCCGAUAUCGGAUUAGCUAGUUGGUGGGGUAACGGCUCACCAAGGCGACGAUCCGUAGCUGGUUUGAAGGACGACCAGCCGCACUGGGACUGAGACACGGCCCAGACUCCUGCAGGGAGCAGCAGUGAAAUUUUUGGACAAUGGGGAAGCCUGAUCGCUUCAUCCGCGUGUGCGAUGAAGGCCUUCGGGUUGUAAAGCACUUUUGGCAGGAAAAAGCAGCGCGGGAUAUUACCCGUGCAGCUGACCGGUACCUGCUGGGAAUGGCGCCGGCUGGCUGCGUUGCCAGCAGCCGCGGUAAUACGUAGGUGCAAGUCGGGAUUACUGGGCGUAAAGCGUGCGCAGGCGGUUCGGAAAGAAGAUGUGAAAUCCCAGAGCUUAACUUUGGAACUGCAUUUUUAACUACCGAGCUAGAGUGUGUCAGAGAGGUGGAAUUCCGCGUGUAGCAGUGAAAUGCGUAGAUAUGCGGAGGAACACCGAUGGCGAAGGCUGACCUCCUGGGAUAACACUGACGCUCAUGCACAGCGUGGGAGCAAGCGAAGUUAGAUACCUGGUAGUCCACGCCUAAACGAUGUCAGCUGCUUUCUUCGGGGCCUUCGGGCCUUGGUAAUGCAGCUAGCGUGAAGUUGACCGCCUGCAGAUACGGUCGCAAGAUUAAAACUCAAGGAAUUGACGGGGACCCGCACAAGCGGUGGAUGAUGUGGAUUAAUUCGAUGCAGCGCGAAAAACCUUACCUACCCUUGACAUGUCUGGAAUCCCGAAGAGAUUUGGGAGUGCUCGCAAGAGAACCGGAACACAGGUGCUGCAUAGCUGUCGUCAGCUCGUGUCGUGAGAUGUUGGGUUAAGUCCCGCAACGAGCGCAACCCUUGUCAUUAGUUGCUACGAAAGGGCACUCUAAUGAGACUGCCGGUGACAAGCCGGAGGAAGGUGAGGACUGACAUUGAGAUCCUCAUGGCCCGCUUAUGGUGGGGCUUCACACGUCAUACAAUGGUCGGGACAAGAGGUCGCCAACCCGCGAAGGGGAGCCAAUCCCAGAAACCCGAUCGUAGUCCGGAUCGCAGUCUGCAACUCGACUGUGGCGAAGUCGAAUCGCUUCGUAAUCGCGGAUCAGCAUGUCGCGGUGAAUACGUUCCCGGGUCUUGUACACACCGCCCGUCACACCAUGGGAGUGGGUUUUACCAGAAGUAGUUAGCCUAACCGUAAGGAGGGCGAUUACCACGGUAGGAUUCAUGACUGGGGUGAAGUCGUAACAAGGUAG
rnacentral:rRNA from 1 species